AUGAACGCUGACAGAAUGCUUAACACCUGCAAGUCUUUGGCGAAGCUGUGCUUGCACAGCCUAGCCAAGGCGGACGGGUGAGUAACGCGUAAGGAACUUGCCCUGCAGUCAGGGAUAACAGACGGAAACGACUGAUAAGACCUGGUAAAGUCAGGCGGACUCAUGUCCAGCCUGAUGAAAAGGGAUGCUGCAGGAGAGCCUUGCGUCCUAUUAGCUUGUUGGUGGGGUAACGGCCCACCAAGGCGAUGAUAGGUAGCCGGCCUGAGAGGGUGGACGGCCACAAGGGGACUGAGAUACGGCCCUUACUCCUACGGGAGGCAGCAGUGGGGAAUAUUGGACAAUGGGGGCAACCCUGAUCCAGCAAUUCUGUGUGCACGAUGAAGGUUUUCGGAUUGUAAAGUGCUUUCAGCAGGGAAGAAAAAAAUGACGGUACCUGCAGAAGAAGCGACGGCUAAAUACGUG
rnacentral:rRNA from 1 species